UACGAGGGGGGCGAGCGUUGUUCGGAAUUAUUGGGCGUAAAGGGCGCGUAGGCGGUGCGGUAAGUCACCUGUGAAACCUCUAGGCUUAACCUAGAGCCUGCAGGCGAAACUGCCGUGCUUGAGGGUGGGAGAGGUGCGUGGAAUUCCCGGUGUAGCGGUGAAAUGCGUUGAGAUCGGAAGGAACGCCCGUGGCGAAAGCGAGGUCCUGGACGUCUGCUGACGCUGAGACGCGAAAGCCAGGGGAGCGAACGGG
rnacentral:rRNA from 1 species